rnacentral:rRNA from 1 species
AGUCGAGGGGUAACGGAAGUAGCUUGCUACUAGACGACGACCGGCGCACGGGUGAGUAACGCGUAUGUAAUCUGCCUUGUACAGAGGGAUAGCCCAGAGAAAUUUGGAUUAAUACCUCAUAGUAUUACCGAAUCGCAUGAUUUGGUAAUUAAAGCUCCGGCGGUACAAGAUGAACAUGCGUGACAUUAGCUAGUUGGUAAGGUAACGGCUUACCAAGGCUACGAUGUCUAGGGGUUCUGAGAGGAUGAUCCCUCACACUGGUACUGAGACACGGACCAGACUCCUACGGGAGGCAGCAGUGAGGAAUAUUGGUCAAUGGACGCAAGUCUGAACCAGCCAUCCCGCGUGAAGGAUGACUGCCCUAUGGGUUGUAAACUUCUUUUAUAUGCAAAUAAACCUACUUUCGUGAAAGUAGCUGAAGGUAGCAUAUGAAUAAACACCGGCUAACUCCGUGCCAGCAGCCGCGGUAAUACGGAGGGUGUAAGCGUNAUCCGGAUUUAUUGGGUUUAAAGGGUACGUAGGCGGUAAUAUAAGUCAGUGGUGAAAUCCUGCAGCUCAACUGUAGAACUGCCAUUGAAACUGU